rnacentral:rRNA from 1 species
UGCGCAGGCGGGACUGCAAGUUGGAUGUGAAAUACCGGGGCUCAACCCCGGGGCUGCAUCCAAAACUGUAGUUCUUGAGUGAAGUAGAGGUAAGCGGAAUUCCGAGUGUAGCGGUGAAAUGCGUAGAUAUUCGGAGGAACACCAGUGGCGAAGGCGGCUUACUGGGCUUUAACUGACGCUGAGGCACGAAAGCAUGGGUAGCAAACA